AGUGCCGCAGUUAACACAAUAAGUAAUCCACCUGGGGAGUACGACCGCAAGGUUGAAACUCAAAGGAAUUGACGGGGGCCCGCACAAGCAGUGGAGUAUGUGGUUUAAUUCGACGCAACGCGAAGAACCUUACCAAGUCUUGACAUCCUGCGACGCACAUAGAAAUAUGUGUUUCCUUCGGGACGCAGAGACAGGUGGUGCAUGGUUGUCGUCAGCUCGUGUCGUGAGAUGUUGGGUUAAGUCCCGCAACGAGCGCAACCCUUAUGGUCAGUUACUACGCAAGAGGACUCUGGCCAGACUGCCGUUGACAAAACGGAGGAAGGUGGGGAGGACGUCAAAUCAUCAUGCCCUUUAUGACUUGGGCUACACACGUACUACAAUGGCGUUAAACAAAGAGAAGCAAGACCGCGAGGUGGAGCAAAACUCAGAAACAACGUCCCAGUUCGGACUGCAGGCUGCAACUCGCCUGCACGAAGUCGGAAUUGCUAGUAAUCGCAGAUCAGCAUGCUGCGGUGAAUA
rnacentral:rRNA from 1 species